AAGGAAACGAAAUUGCAUUGUUUUGGAAAGCCGUAAAUUUGAUAAUGCAUCAAAGCAAUUGCUUCUCGCUGGAGAAUUGAAAAUGUUAUCAAUCUCCUUGUGGGUUUUCCAUUGCUACAAGUUUUUGAACAGAGUCAUUUAGUCAUUGGCAAACUUACCUAGACUUAAUCCAUUAUAAAUUAAGACACAAAUAUGUAAAUCCUACCUCUUUUAUAUGUGAAUCCCAUCACAUAUGCUGUGUCUUAGAGUCCACGAUCUCACCUAUUUUACAUAUAUGGAUCCAAUCGGAUCUAGUUGAGAAUAUCCUGUCAAUAGCACUUGCCGACAUGCUUGUACGGUUCCCGUCCUCGAAACUGUACCCAACAGCACUACCACCAUCAGUGCUAACAAUGGCAAUGGUUUGUGCCGUCCACAUUGCUACGUGAACAGGGAAGCUGUGUAUUUAGGGAGAUGGUCAUCCGGUCUCAACUGCUAGAUUACUAGCAUUUCACUAUCAUUUUGAUAACAAAAGCAUUCAAGCACCUUUAUUCAAUAUCACUAAAACAGAAAACUUUAAACAGUACGCCUACACAUAAAAGCUUGCCUAGCUAGUUUAUUGAAUAACAUGGUACUUCUAUGACUGUUAACUGUAAUUAUGUCAAAUUGUCAAACAACAUCCAUAUCUCAUUGACCCUGUGAUCAAAUUCAAAUGGAGAAUUGUACUGUGCAACUGUAUACACAGAAGUAGCAUCAGCAUCAUGGCUUUUCUGAAUUGCAGUAGCCCAUGUAGUACCUGCAAGGCUGGCUUCCAAGGCAGCGGCUUCCUCUCCAACAUUUGAAUCUGUGACAAACCCACUGAAUUGCCUUACUGCUGCAUAUGUUUGUUUCCAUCUUUGAACAUGUAGGCCUUCUGCAGGAGGUGGAUUUGCUUGAUUCUCUUUUGGAACAUAAAAACUGACAGUGAAUGAGGAUUCACAGAAAGGUCCAUCACUUGGACAAACUUCAGUAAUAACUGGACCUGUCAUCUCUAUCUUCUCUCCAUAUUUAUUCUUCCCUUGAAUGUAGUUAAACAGCCUGUGACCAGAAACAGAACAAUGGUUCAAGCUAUAAAAUUCUCUUAAACAAAACAACAAAUGAAAGAAGAAAUCUUACUGUAGGAAACCAGUUCUGGUAGCUUCAACAAUGGAAAUGUCUUGGAUGGGAGAGGUUGACAUCCAAGCAGAAGAGUUAUAGCUCCGAAUUUCAUAUCCAUCACCAACUUCUAUAACAUCAUAAGAUGGACACUCUAUUCGCUUGCAUGUUGGUGGGUAUAUCCCUAAUCUGCUGCUGCUGCUGCUAGGUUCAUGCCAGAGACCAAAGUUUGCACUCCAUAGAAGACUCAAAACCAGUGAUAGCUUUGUGAAGAGCAUGUGUAAGCUAGAGCCAGCCAUGGCAGUAAGUGCUCAAUUGCUUUGAAAAAGGUUAGGUUGAAG
rnacentral:misc_RNA from 1 species